CAGUCAGACACAUACACACACACACACACACAGUCAGACACACACACACACACACAGUCACACAAACACACACACACAAUCACUCACAUUAACACUUUUUUUUUUUAAUUGAACCCCCCCCCGGACCAUGCUUGACCACUCUACAUUCUGAGACCAUCAGGAGGGGAAAGCAGCUUUGCAUAGAUUUGCAGGAUUGCAUGUUUUAGUGAAUCACUCAGGCUUCAGAAAA